CGUGAGGAACCUGCCUUGGAGAGGGGAAUAACACAGUGAAAAUUGUGCUAAUACCGCAUGAUGCAGUUGGGCCGCAUGGCUCUGACUGCCAAAGAUUUAUCGCUCCGAGAUGGCCUCGCGUCUGAUUAGCUGGUUGGUGGGGCAACGGCCCACCAAGGCGACGAUCAGUAGCCGGACUGAGAGGUUGACCGGCCACAUUGGGACUGAGACACGGCCCAGACUCCUACGGGAGGCAGCAG
rnacentral:rRNA from 1 species